rnacentral:tRNA from 1 species
GCGGCUAUGGCGGAAUUGGUAGACGCACCUGGUUUAGGUCCAGACGCCGAGAGGCGUGGGGGUUCGAGUCCCUCUAGCCGCACCA